rfam:Ornithorhynchus anatinus chromosome 2, whole genome shotgun sequence.
CCCCUCUCAUGGUCGCUUCUGGAGAGUUUCCAGUACUCUACCAGUCUUGACUAUGGAAGGAAGAGCGAAGCAGAGGCCUAUCCAUUCCAUUCCUAGCUUGGGCAGCAGCUGGAGAAUGGAAGGCAAUCUACUACAAAU